GACGAACGCUGGCGGCGUGCUUAACACAUGCAAGUCGAACGGAAAGGCCCCCACCUUGGUGGGGGUGCUCGAGUGGCGAACGGGUGAGUAACACGUGGGUGAUCUGCCCUGUACUUCGGGAUAAGCUUGGGAAACUGGGUCUAAUACCGGAUAGGACCAUGGUUUAGUGUCUCAUGGUGGAAAGAUUAUUGUUUUGGUGCAGGAUGAGCUCGCGGCCUAUCAGCUUGUUGGUGGGGUAAUGGCCUACCAAGGCGUCGACGGGUAGCCGGCCUGAGAGGGUGGACGGCCACAUUGGGACUGAGAUACGGCCCAGACUCCUACGGGAGGCAGCAGUGGGGAAUAUUGCACAAUGGGCGCAAGCCUGAUGCAGCGACGCCGCGUGGGGGAUGACGGCCUUCGGGUUGUAAACUCCUUUCGUUAGGGACGAAGCCGCACUUUUUUUGGGUGUGGGACGUACCU
rnacentral:rRNA from 1 species